GGUAAGGAACCCGGAAGUGAGAAGGGCUAGAUAUGCUAAAUGCUCGACUGCUGUGUUUUGCAGCCAUGUUAUGAAUAAAAGCAAGAGGAAAGUUUACUUCCUGGAAGAGCUGUGCGCCAUUUUCCCUCUGACAUUAUGUCACUGUACUUCGAUUAUUUUUUCCCUAUGACAUGGAAAGGCGUAGGCCUAUUGAUGGCUGGUAUCUUCGGACACAGAAACAGCAGAACGGCUCCAAUCAUCAGAAGAACCAGAGCACCAGCGAGAACCAAAGGCCACACCAGCACUGAAAAGAACAUGAGAGGAAUACGGGAGGAAGAUGAAAAAACGUGAAAGAAACAUGGGUGGAUUACAACAACAACGCAGGAUGAUCGGUAGGGCAUUGAGAAUCAAUUGAGUGGAACAUGUGAAGAACAUUAGAGGAGAAGAAUGUGUGGAGAACCACCAGACUAAACCUGGAAGGAACAUAACCUAUAGUAUGUCAAAUACUUGCUGGAACACGGAAGGAAUUGUGGUGGAUUAGGGUGGUAAAAAUAUGAGGAACAUGUAAGGAACUUUGGAGGAACUUGAGAGCCCAUUAGACAACGUUAAGGCAACAUUAAAGCACUUUGUGAAGGACAGUGAAUCAGAUGGAGAGAUGAAUGUGUUCUACCUGUUGGUCUGUUCUCAGAGGACUCUCUUCUACCUUCUGACUCUACUUUUCCAUCGAGCGGCAGACCUUAGAAGUUCACACACCAUGUCAGCAACCACAUGCACUUGAAGAGGAAAGCAUCUUAACAUCGUAAUGAAGCUCACCAUCAGAAACGCUGACAUCAAACUCCUGAAUAUAAGCAGACCGCAGAGAUGAUCCCACAGCGCAUGUAUACCUCCCUGAAUCUGACUUGUCCAACUGGGAGAUGGUGACCACCAGAAGAUACAUUUUCAUUAAGGGUUCCGGUCUGAAGUCCACGCAGUACCUGUCCACACAAGCACUGUUUUCUGUGGUUCUCAGGAGGAUGUGUCCAUCCAGACAGUUUCCUUUACAAAAGAACUUUGUGCUCCAGGAGGCAUGGAAGGGACACUGUAUCUCCAGCGUGCCUCCAGCAGGUCCAGUGUGGAUGUGGACUUCUGGACUGGGAACAGAACUUCGAUACUGCUGUUCUGCUGAAACAAGUCACAGUGAGGACUUCCUGUGGUGUAUACUUUUAUACAUUCUUUUCCCACUUAUAUCCGCAUUGACUCACCUGGAAGAACUCUGAUCUCAAAGUCCCUGUAGGACUCGGGAAGUUCAGGCAAUCCCACCCCCAUCCUGUAGCGGCCGCUGUCGGCCGUGUUGAGAUUGAGGAUUGUGGCGUAGAGGGUCCCUCCUACAGGCGGCGUGUGUUCAUACUUGAUGCUGUGUCUGUCGUUGUGAGAGCUGACGCCGGUGGUUUGAACCAGAAUGUCCGUGUCUUUGCAUUGGUUUUUGCAGAAGUACUUUGUGCCGCUGGUUAGAAAUUGCCACAAGAUUGUGAAGUUUUUCCCCUCGGUUCUUUGAAAGAUGACGAGGCCGGCGCUUGUGUUGGUCAGUGCUGAGAACACAGCAGGAAGAUCUUCUAUGAACCUAACCACUUCUACUGUGUACCUGGCGUUAAAGAGAACAAAUACUGAAGAAACAAGGCUGUCUUCCUGGAAGAAAACCACGCAGUGAGGAUCAGAAGGCUGAAUUUAAUGCGUACACAUUUUCAUUGUUUUGACAUAAGUCCUGAUUAGUCAGCCCACAAACUUUCCAGUGCCCCCUUGUACGAAUGGGCAAGGGCCGGAAAACUGCUAUGGUAGAUGAUCUGGUAAAGCUGUUGUUCUCCCUUUUUAUAGUCAGGAACUGAUAUUUCCCUGAAAUUGACCCAUGUUCUCCUGCUUAUUACUAAGGAACGCUUUCUGAUGAAAGACAAGACGGUCAUAUCCAUCCAUCCAUCUGGCUGGCACACAAGAUGGCAGGAACACAACAAGAAUAUGGGAGCAACUGCAUAAACAAAAAAACCUACAUCCCAUAAUGCUCCAUCAGCGGAAGGAAGGGAGGAGUCGGGGGCGGCUGAGGGGAGGAAUCUCCUUGGCCCUGGUGAUGGUGACCUUUACCCCUCCCCGAGGUCCCACCAUACUGGAAGGAGAUGUCUGUCUGGGUGGCGUUUUCGACGCAGUUGGGAACUGCGACCAUGGCGAUGGAGGAGAUGGAGCUGCUUGUCCCGUUUCCUACGCAUGGGAUGCCACCUAGAAGAUGUUUUCAAGGCAGCAUCCUCCUCCAGAUGUUGGAGGGGGAAUCCGCCUCCCACUCGUCCCAUGCAGGGCGCUCCACGUCUGGGCAGUGCUACCACGGCAACCCCCGUCUUCUUUCUUCCCUCUCCGUGCUUCCUCCGUCACAGCCGGAGAGAACGCUGCACCUUCCUGCCGCACGGAGCCAGCAGACGUCGGGAUGUUUAACAUUCCAAUAAAAAAUCCUGACGAAGAGGAAGAGGAGCAGCUCUGAUCUCCGUGCUCACUCGUCUUCUUCUGCAGCGUCCUGCUUCGCUCGGAGGCGACACAGCCAGCCAAU